rnacentral:tRNA from 1 species
GCCCUCAUCGUCUAACGGUUAGGACACCAGGUUUUCAACCUGGAGACCGGGGUUCGAUUCCCCGUGAGGGUA